rnacentral:rRNA from 1 species
UACGGAGGGUGCAAGCGUUAUCCGGAUUCACUGGGUUUAAAGGGUGCGUAGGUGGGCUGGUAAGUCAGUGGUGAAAUCCCCGAGCUUAACUUGGGAACUGCCAUUGAUACUAUCAGUCUUGAAUACCGUGGAGGUCAGCGGAAUAUGUCAUGUAGCGGUGAAAUGCUUAGAUAUGACAUAGAACACCAAUUGCGAAGGCAGCUGGCUACACGAAUAUUGACACUGAGGCACGAAAGCGUGGGGAUCAAAC